rnacentral:rRNA from 1 species
CUACAUGAAGCUGGAAUCGCUAGUAAUCGCAGGUCAGCAUACUGCGGUGAAUACGUUCCCGGGUCUUGUACACACCGCCCGUCACACCAUGGGAGCCGGAAAUGCCCGAAGCCAGUGACCCAACCUUAGGGAGGGAGCUGUCGAAGGUGGAGCCGGUAACUGGGGUGAAGUCGUAACAAGGUAUC